rnacentral:rRNA from 1 species
AUCUUCGGCAAUGGGCGAAAGCCUGACCGAGCAACGCCGCGUGAGCGAUGAAGGCCUUCGGGUCGUAAAGCUCUGUUGUUAGAGAAGAACAAGUACGAGAGUAACUGCUCGUACCUUGACGGUACCUAACCAGAAAGUCACGGCUAACUACGUGCCAGCAGCCGCGGUAAUACGUAGGUGGCAAGCGUUAUCCGGAAUUAUUGGGCGUAAAGCGCGCGCAGGCGGUCUCUUAAGUCUGAUGUGAAAGCCCACGGCUCAACCGUGGAGGGUCAUUGGAAACUGGGAGACUUGAGUGCAGGAGAGAAAAGUGGAAUUCCACGUGUAGCGGUGAAAUGCGUAGAGAUGUGGAGGAACACCAGUGGCGAAGGCGGCUUUUUGGCCUGUAACUGACGCUGAGGCGCGAAAGCGUGGGGAGCAAACAGG